AGUGUCAUAUAUCAAUCUGUUGAUUUCAUUGGUUAAGUUAUAAUAAACCAGCUGCUUGGCCUCAUGGCUUGGAACAUAGAUGGGAGGAGUAAACAGAAUAGAAUUCUGGGCGGAAGAGGAAGUGAGGUCAGACUCUGCUCUGCUCCCGGAGAGACCCGACAGCUCUGCUGGAGCAGAGAUGCCAUGCUCAGCUCUCCCGGGUAGACGCGAUAGCUCUGCUCUCUGAGGCACACGCGAUGAAGAUGGAUGUAGGCUAGAAUCUUCCUGGGUCAUGCUCUGAAACUCUGCUAGUCUCAAACUCGGCGCAAUCCUCCUGCCUCAGCCUACCAAGAGCUGAGAUUACAGGCAUGAGCUAUCACAUAUGCCUGCAUCUCUGAGCCAUUCACCUAAGCAGCUGAACUACGGAUUUAAGCCUGUGUCUUCUGCAGGACCUGCCCUGGAUACAGAAGCCCUGUCCUGAGACCAGCUGCAGGACAUGGUUGGCAUCGCUCUUCAAGGCCUUCUCAUCUAAAAUACACGAUUACUGUUCCUUUUAUGCAAUGACUCUUCCUCCGCCUAACAGUUGACCUUGAGUACCUAGACACCCCCUUUGAGCUCAACAUCCACAAGCCUCUACUUUCUGCAAAACCCAAAGUGCAGCGUUUCUUUUCAUUAUUAACCGAC